UGAUACUGUCAGUCUUGAGUACAGUAGAGGUGGGCGAAAUCCGUGGUGUAGCGGUGAAAUGCUUAGAUAUCACGAAGAACUCCGAUUGCGAAGGCAGCUCACUGGACUGCAACUGACACUGAUGCUCGAAAGUGUGGGUAUCAAACAGGAUUAGAUACCCUGGUAGUCCACACAGUAAACGAUGAAUACUCGCUGUUUGCGAUAUACAGUAAGCGGCCAAGCGAAAGCAUUAAGUACUCCACCUGGGGAGUACGCCGGCAACGGUGAAACUCAAAGGAAUUGACGGGGGCCCGCACAAGCGGAGGAACAUGUGGUUUAAUUCGAUGAUACGCGAGGAACCUUACCCGGGCUUAAAUUGCAGUGGAAUGAUGUGGAAACAUGUCAGUGAGCAAUCACCGCUGUGAAGGUGCUGCAUGGUUGUCGUCAGCUCGUGCCGUGAGGUGUCGGCUUAAGUGCCAUAACGAGCGCAGCCCUUAUCUUUAGUUACUAACAGGUCAUGCUGAGGACUCUAGAGAGACUGCCGUCGUAAGAUGUGAGGAAGGUGGGGAUGACGUCAAAUCAGCACGGCCCUUACGUCCGGGGCUACACACGUGUUACAAUGGGGGGUACAGAAGGCAGCUAGCGGGUGACCGUAUGCUAAUCCCAAAAGCCUCUCUCAGUUCGGAUCGAAGUCUGCAACCCGACUUCGUGAAGCUGGAUUCGCUAGUAAUCGCGCAUCAGCCACGGCGCGGUGAAUACGUUCCCGGGCCUUGUACACACCGCCCGUCAAGCCAUGGGAGCCGGGGGUACCUGAAGUACGUAACAGGAAGGAUUGUCCUAGGGUAAAACUGG
rnacentral:rRNA from 1 species